UGCAGUCGAACGAACCUUUUAGGUGAGUGGCGCACGGGUGCGUAACACGUGGGAAUAUACACAUCGGUAAGGAACAACACAGAGAAAUUUGUGCUAAUACCUUAUAAUGACUCCGGUCCAAAGAUUUAUCGCCGAUGGAUUAGCCCGCGCUAGAUUAGUUUGUUGGUGAGGUAAAAGCUCACCAAGACUACGAUCUAUAGCUGGUCUUAGAGGAUGAUCAGCCACACUGGUACUGAGACACGGACCAGACUCCUACGGGAGGCAGCAGUGAGGAAUAUUGCGCAAUGGGGGAAACCCUGACGCAGCCAUGCCGCGUGAAUGACGAAGGCCCUAGGGUUGUAAAAUUCUUUCAGAUGCGAAGAUAAUGACGGUAACAUCAGAAGAAGCUCCGGCUAAAUUCGUGCCAGCAGCCGCGGUAAUACGAAUGGAGCGAGCGUUGUUCGGAAUCAUUGGGCGUAAAGCGUAUGUAGGCGGACAUGAAAGUCAGAAGUGAAAUCCCAGGACUUAACCCUGGAACUGCUUUUGAAACUCCAUGUCUUGAAUCCCGGAGGGGUGAGGGGAAUUCCGAGUGUAGAGGUGAAAUUCGCAGAUAUUCGGAGGAACACCAGAGGCGUAGGCGCCUCACUGGACGGGUAUUGACGCUGAGAUACGAAAGCGUGGGGAGCAAACAGGAUUAGAUACCCUGGUAGUCCACGCCGUANACGAUGUGUGCUAGUUGUCGGGCUCUAAGAGUUCGGUGACGCCGCUAACGCAUUAAGCACACCGCCUGGGGAGUACGGCCGCAAGGUUAAAACUCAAAGGAAUUGACGGGGACCCGCACAAGCGGUGGAGCAUGUUCUUUAAUU
rnacentral:rRNA from 1 species